UCGAGAUGCAAGCGGAACUGAAUCUUGAAAUUCCAUAUGUUGGUUGCGUAAUCAUUCCAAUUGUUUCCCUCCAUUCAAAAGAAGGAAGCAAAGUCAUUCCUGACGACAAAUUGUGGUAUAGACUGCUGCUGAACCAAGAGAGGCCCAUUUGUUGUAUGCACCCUACUCAAAUAGCUACUUCUAAUGCCGAGAUUGUUCAGUGUUAGAGAAACAUGUUAAAGAGAGUUUUCACUGCUCUCUCAAGAGUUACCAUGAUCAAUGGCUGAACCACUGGAAACGUCAUAUAGCUGCCCCGUCACAGGACGACUGCAUAUGUCAUUGAUCAUGGGAGUGACUGUGAUUGUUCCUAUUGUUCAGCUUUUGAUAAGGAUUCAUUGGUUAACAAGAAUGCAGAAAUAGUACAUGGAUCAUGGGUUAAGGCGGGUUCCUCAAAGACCUACUUACCCACAAUAAAGGAUUUUGGAUAAAGAUUAAAAUUAGAAGCUGUUGCAACAUUCUUUGGUGAGGGAAAACCUCGGCUGCAAACUGAAGUGAAAACAAAUCAUGUUAUCAUUCCGCCUCCUUGUCGCUAUAUGAUUCCAGUCACACCACUGGAUGGUUUUAGUAACUUUGAAUUGGAAUCAAAAAUUUGUUUUACUAGGUCUUUUAGCGUGCUCUCAUACAAUAUCCUUGCUGAUCUGUAUGUUACUCCUGGUACAUACAACUACCGUCCUGCUUCGAUCCUUAAAUGGGAAUACCGAAGCCAAAAUUUACUCCAUGAGAUUAUUAGAUACGACGCAGAUGUAAUUUGUCUUCAGGAGUUAGAAUAUGAUUACUUUGAGGAGUUCUUUAUGCCCAAGCUUGAAGAAAUUGGCUGUUUUGGUAUACACAAGUCGAAGACAUUUGAGCUGUUUACUUCCAAAAAAGGCUACGCAUCUGAAAGGUGUGCAACAUUUUUCGCCUUAGUAAAUUCAGACUGAUUAAGAAAUAUGAGCUCAAGUUUAAAAAUACUGCACAAAAAAAGCCUGGUCACUUGAUGCAGAAAAGAGCCGUAGUAUGAUGAAGGACAAUAUUGCACUUACUGUAAUAUUGGAGGCAAUUAAAGCUGAACCGGUUUCUGACACGUUAAAUCAUCGAAUUUGUGUGGUAUGGCAUCCAUCAAGACUUUGAGGCAUAGUCAUUCGUCUAUUAGUUUUAGGCGUCCGAUAUGUUUAAAUCGGUAAUAUCAGGCAAAUGUUCAUGCAUCUGCGGAUCCACAGAAUACAGAUGUAAAACUAUGGCAGGUAUUUUAUGUUGGUUUUCAAAUUGUAUCCCCUUCUCAGCUUCUUAUAAGAAAGCUUGACAAAUUUUUUCAAGAACUUGUUACUGCAACCGGUUGGAGCCCUUAUUGAAGAUCUGGAGCGAAAUCUAGCUCAUUCAAUUAUUCCAGUUCUCAUUUAUGCGGAUCUUAACUCUCUCCCAAGAAGUGCUGCUCAUACUCUUGUAGUUAAUGGGUGGGUGGACCUUAAACAUGAAGAAUUGGUGAACACUCCUGAUGGAAUAAUUGAACAUCUCAAGGUUGCACAUAAAUUGCUACCUCUGGCUAGUGCAUAUUCAUCGUUUUCAAGAACGAAAAAUGGCGAUAUGAUGGAUUCUGAUACAAAGGAGCCUCGAUUCACCACUUCUACACUCUAUUUCCGCAAUACAGUAGAUUUACAUUUUCUAAACAGAGGGUAUGUUGAAGUGGUGGUGGCGAUUGGGUAAAGAGAAGAAUGCUCUUUGGGCCAAAAUCAUUAGAGAGAAAUAUGGGGAUAAUCGCACUGUUUGGAGAACUAAGGAUUGCAAGGAUCCCUAUGGGGUGAGCAUUUGGAGGCAUAUCAAUUCAGUUGCUCACACCUUCUUUGGUUCUAUCCAAUUUAAGAUUGGUAGAGGAGACACUGUUAGGCUUUGGGAGGAUAAAUGGUGCAGUGAAGGGAUUUUGGCUUCUUUAUGUCCAUCGUUGUAUAACAUUUCGACUACUAAGCAUAUCUCCAUUAUGGAUGCUGUGAGUUCUGAUGAAGCCGGUACUAAUUGGAAUCUUGGCCUGAACAGUCGAAGGAGAUUUAUAUGAUUGUGAAAUUCAACAGCUGCUAACGAUUUUGCCGCUACUGGACACUAUUCAGGCAUCUCCGGAUGAGGAUGAUGAAAUGAUUUGGGUAGGUAAUAAGAAUGGAGCCUACUCAGUUCAGUCAGCAUAUGCUAAGGAGGUUGGUUUGGCGGCGGUUAGUAAGUCCUUUCCUAGAAAAAAGAUCUGGUCAAUGAAUUGGCCAUUAAAACACGCCUUCUUCCUUUGGCAGGCGGUCCUAGAUAGACUGCCUACUCUAGUGAACUUACAAAAAAGGGGCUCCGCCAUUAUCUCCACUAAUGGCUCGCCUAUUUCUAAUCGGUGUAUCUUCUGUGGAACUCAUCCUGAGAGCAAUGACCAUCUGUUUAUCCGCUGUGAAUUUGCCAUCAGCAUUUGGUACUAUUGCAGGAAUUGCGCAAGAAAACUAGAUGACGCUCCUUCUUCAGUCUUGGGUAUCAUUUCUAGUUGGAAUUCUAGUGGUUUAUCGUUUCUGGGUAAGGAGAUAUGGAAGAGGCUGCCUACUAGCAUAAUAUGGAAUAUUUGACUCGAAAUGAAUAAUAGGACGUUUAACGGCAAAGCUCGGCAGUGGUCUUCUCUUAUUUCUGAUAUCAAAAUUCAAACUUUCUAUUGGGCUUCUUCGAAACCUGGUUUCGAAAGCAUUCAUCCUGAAGAUGUUGUUGUUAAUUGGGAGAACAUUUUCUUUGAACCUCCCUAGGGGCCUUGUUUUAUUUUAUUUUUCUGUUGGGGUCUCUUGUCUGUCGCUUGAGUAGGCUUUCUAGGUCUGUUUUCCUAGUUUGGGGCUUACUUUGUAAGCUGUUCAUUGUUUGUGGGGGUGGGGGAGCCUGGUCUCUCUCUAA